UGGGGAAUUUUGGACAAUGGGGGAAACCCUGAUCCAGCCAUCCCGCGUGUGCGGUGAAGGCCUUCGGGUUGUAAAGCACUUUUGGCAGGAAAGAAACGUCGCGGGUUAAUACCCCGCGGAACUGACGGUACCUGCAGAAUAAGCACCGGCUAACUACGUGCCAGCAGCCGCGGUAAUACGUAGGGUGCAAGCGUUAAUCGGAAUUACUGGGCGUAAAGCGUGCGCAGGCGGUUCGGAAAGAAAGAUGUGAAAUCCCAGAGCUUAACUUUGGAACUGCAUUUUUAACUACCGGGCUAGAGUGUGUCAGAGGGAGGUGGAAUUCCGCGUGUAGCAGUGAAAUGCGUAGAUAUGCGGAGGAACACCGAUGGCGAAGGCAGCCUCCUGGGAUAACACUGACGCUCAUGCACGAAAGCGUGGGGAGCAAACAGGAUUAGAUACCCUGGUAGUCCACGCCCUAAACGAUGUCAACUAGCUGUUGGGGUCUUCGGACCUUGGUAGCGCAGCUAACGCGUGAAGUUGACCGCCUGGGGAGUACGGUC
rnacentral:rRNA from 1 species